rnacentral:rRNA from 1 species
AAUCAACGCUGGCGGCGUGCCUCAGACAUGCAAGUCGAACGAUUAAAGCUCUCUUCGGAGAGUGUAUAAAGUGGCGCACGGGUGAGUAACACGUAAGUAAUCUACCUUCGAGUGGGGAAUAACGUCCGGAAACGGACGCUAAUACCGCAUAACGCAGCGGCAUCGCAAGAUGACAGUUGUUAAAGAUUUAUCGCUUGAAGAGGAGCUUGCGGCAGAUUAGCUGUUGGUAAGGUAACGGCUUACCAAGGCUACGAUCUGUAACCGGUCUAAGAGGACGGUCGGUCACACUGACACUGAAUAACGGGUCAGACUCCUACGGGAGGCAGCAGUCGGGAAUUUUGGGCAAUGGGGGAAACCCUGACCCAGCAACGCCGCGUGAAGGAUGAAGUAUUUCGGUAUGUAAACUUCGAAAGAAUAGGAAGAAUUAAUGACGGUACUAUUUAUAAGGUCCGGCUAACUACGUGCCAGCCGCCGCCGU